GGGGAGGUGAGGUGUAGUAGUAUGGAGGAGGAGGAGACUUCACAGGUGGAGGUGGGGAGUGGUAAUAGUAUGGAGGUGGUGGAGACUUCACAGGUGGAGGUGGAGAGUGAUAAUAGUAUGGAGGAGGGGGAGACUUCACAGGUGGAGGUGGGGAGUGGUAAUAGUAGGGAGGUGGGGGAGAUGGUGAUGGGGGUGGUGGAGAGUGGUAAUAGUAUGGAGGUGGGGGAGAUGGUGAUGGGGGUGGUGGAGAGUGGUAAUAGUAUGGUGGAGGGGGUGACGGUGAUGGUGGUGGUGGAGACUUGUAGUAAUAGGGAGGUGGAGGUGAUGGUGAUGGUGGGGAGGGGACUUGUAGUAAUAGGGAGGUGGAGGUGAUGGUGAUGGUGGUGG
rnacentral:lncRNA from 1 species